UACGGAGGGAGCUAGCGUUGUUCGGAAUUACUGGGCGUAAAGCGCGCGUAGGCGGCUUUGUAAGUUAGAGGUGAAAGCCCGGGGCUCAACCCCGGAACUGCCUUUAAAGCUGCAUCGCUUGAAUCCGGGAGAGGUGAGUGGAAUUCCGAGUGUAGAGGUGAAAUUCGUAGAUAUUCGGAAGAACACCAGUGGCGAAGGCGGCUCACUGGACCGGUAUUGACGCUGAGGUGCGAAAGCGUGGGGAGCAAACAGG
rnacentral:rRNA from 1 species